rnacentral:rRNA from 1 species
UGCCAGCCGCCGCGGUAAUACAGAGGUGGCAAGCGUUGUUCGGUAUCACUGGGCUUAAAGGGCGCGUAGGCGGCGCGAUACGGUCUGGGUGAAAUCCCUCGGCUCAACCGAGGAAUUGCCUGGGCAACGGUCGUGCUAGACAGCAUCAGGGGAAGGUGGAACUCGCGGUGGAGCGGUGAAAUGCGUAGAUAUCGCGAGGAACGCCGGUGGCGAAAGCGGCUCACUGGCUCGAUACUGACGCUGAGGUGCGAAAGCGUGGGGAGCAAACAGGAUUAGAUA